GCCCGCAUAGCUCAGUUGGCAGAGCAGCGGUUUUGUAAACCGCAGGUCACUGGUUCGAAUCCAGUUGCGGGCUCCA
rnacentral:tRNA from 1 species